AUAGCUGCAUCUAUGUGUUAGGAGCAUGAAGACCAAUAAUGGAUGCACUGAGCUGAUUAUGAAUUUAGCCCUGAUGAAGACUUGUGUUGCUGUCAUGAUAUGAAAGAUUCCAGUAAUGAACGCACUUGAGUUGAUUCAAGCACGCUUCCAUGGUCAUGAGCUCUGUGGUUGCAUCUGUGUGUUAGGAGCAUGCAGACCAAUAGUGAUAAUCUCGAGGUGAUUUAUGCAUUCUUCCAUGGCCACCAGCCUUAUGAUUGCAUCUGUGCGUCACAGCUUAGAGAUCAAUAAUGGAUGCAACAAGCUCUUUGAAUCAUUCUGUUGGGAUCAAGAUUGUUGUGUUCCCUCUGUUUGGAAAGAGACCAAGAAUGGAUACGCUCAGGUGAUUUAAGCAGUCUUCCAUGGCCACGAGCUCUGUGGUUGCCUCUGUAUAUUAAGAGCACAGAGAUUAAAAAUGGGUGCACUUGAGCCGAUUGAAACAUUCCUCCUUGCAUCUUUCUUCUGUGAUUGCAUCUAUUUGUUAGUAGCAUAGAGACCAAUAAUAGAUGGCUUGUGCUGAUGGAAGGAUUCCUCCCUGGUGACAUGCUGUGUCUGCCUCUUGAUUGGGAGCACGCAGACCUACAAUGAUGCACUUUUUAUGAUUUGAGAAUUCCUUCAUGGUCACGUGCUCUGUUUUUAUCAUGGUUGGGAGCCUGCAGAGCAAUAAGGGACAUGCCUUUGCUGAUUUGAGGAUUCCUCUGAGGUUGGGAGCUAAGUUUGCAUCAUGCUUAGAAAGGAGUGUGCAGACCUGUAAUGAUUGCACUUUGCUGAUUGAAGGAUUCCUUCAAGUCCAUGUGCUCCACUUGCACCAUUUUUAGGAUGGAGCCUGGAGACCUAUAAUGAACAACUUGUGCUGUGUUAAGGAUUCCUCCAUGAUCACGCGCCCCAUUUGUACACCAUGCUUGGGAAGGUGCAUGCAGACCAAUAAUGGACGUACUUGUGAUGAUUUAAAGAUGCCUCCAAGGUCACGUGCUCUGUUUGCACCAUGCUUAGGAAGGAGCGUACAGACCAAAAAUGGAUGAAUUGUGCACCUUGAAAAGUUCUUCCAUGGUCACCUGAGGCAUCUGCGUCAUGAUUAGGCUCCGGAUGACUAAUAAUGGAAGCACAGAAGCUGGUUUUAAUAGUUAAGAGCUGUAUGGUCCAUCUCUGUGCUAGAAGCUGGAGACCAAUAACAGUCACUCCCUGCACUGAUUCUGCCAUGACCACUUGCUCUAUGGUUGUUUUAAGGAACCUACAGACAAAUGUGAGUAAUCGUCAAAGUUCUUGUCUUGGUUUGGGCCAUUUAAGAGUGGUCAAUGCAUUAUUAAUAAGUAGAAAAUAUAAUUAAAGAAGACUAACCGUGUCCCCAAAAUGAACAUGGGGUUGAUAUGAAACAUUUUGUUGAGUAAUGCAUGUUUGAAACAAUCAGGUCAGUUCAAGAAACAUGUCUAAUUUCUGUAGGAACUGCUCUACAGAUAGACAACAGGGUUAUCACAGCUCUUGUCCUAUUUUUUUUCUGAUUCAUGUCUAUUUCUUUAUUAUAAAGUAGUAAAUUAAUAAAUAAAUGAAAUAGACAAAGUCUAAAUGAAAAAAAUGAUUGAUGGUCUGUGGCCUGGCCCAGAGAUGAUGACUCGUGGGUAUGAGUCAAGGAUGAUGAGUAAUAGGAGUCAGGAAGUUUAAGCUCCGAUAUAAAAGAAAUCUAGCCUAUUGAUCAGUUGGAAAUGAUCCUGUAGACAGUAGUUAAAAAUAUUCAGUUAUCGGCUGGGCACGGUGGCUCACACCUUUAAUCCCAGCACUUUGGGAGGCCGAGGUGGGCAGAUCACAAAGUUAGGAGUUUAAGACCAGCCUGACCAACACAGUGAAACCCCGUCUCUACUAAAAAUAUACAAAUUAGCCGGGUGUGGUGGCGAGUGCCUGUAAUCCCAGCUACUUGGGAGGCUGAGGCAGGAGAAUUGCUUAAACCCAGGAAGUUGAGGUUGCAGUGAGUCGAGAUCGCGCCACUGAAUUCCAGCCUGGGCAACAGAGUGAGACCCUGUCUCGAAAAAAAAAAAACAAAAAAAACCCCCAAAAAAUCAGUUACCCUAUUCUUGUGCUCUUGUAAUUCACGGAUAAUGAAUUAAUGCGUGAAGAACUCAAGUAAAAGAAAUAAGUGAAUAAA
ensembl:lncRNA MEG8 maternally expressed 8, small nucleolar RNA host gene